UACGGAGGGGCUAGCGUUGUUCGGAAUUACUGGGCGUAAAGCGCACGUAGGCGGCUUUGCAAGUUAGAGGUGAAAGCCCGGGGCUCAACUCCGGAAUUGCCUUUAAAACUGCAUCGCUAGAAUUGUGGAGAGGUAAGUGGAAUUCCGAGUGUAGAGGUGAAAUUCGUAGAUAUUACGGAAGAACACCAGUGGCGAAGGCGACUUACUGGACACAUAUUGACGCUGAGGUGCGAAAGCGUGGGGAGCAAACAGG
rnacentral:rRNA from 1 species